rnacentral:rRNA from 1 species
UACGUAGGGGGCUAGCGUUGUCCGGAUUUAUUGGGCGUAAAGAGCGUGUAGGCGGCCAGGUAGGUCUGCUGUGAAAACUCGAGGGCUCAACCUCGAGACGUCGGUUGAAACCGUAAGGCUAGAGUCCGGAAGAGGAGAGUGGAAUUCCCGGUGUAGCGGUGAAAUGCGCAGAUAUCGGGAAGAACACCCGUGGCGAAGGCGGCUCUCUGGGACGGUACUGACGCUGAGACGCGAAAGCGUGGGGAGCGAACAGG